CUACGGGCCGCUGCAGUGAGGAAUAUUGCACAAUGGGGGGAACCCUGAUGCAGCAACGCCGCGUGGAGGAUGACGCAUUUCGGUGUGUAAACUCCUUUUAUAUGUCAAGAAAAUGACGGUAGCAUAUGAAUAAGCACCGGCUAACUCCGUGCCAGCAGCCGCGGUAAUAGGGAGGGUGCAAGCGUUACUCGGAAUCACUGGGCGUAAAGGACGCGUAGGCGGGCUUGUAAGUCAGGUGUGAAAUCCUACAGCUUAACUGUAGAACUGCACUUGAAACUACGAGCCUAGAGUAUGGGAGGGGGAGAUGGAAUUAGUGGUGUAGGGGUAAAAUCCGUAGAUAUCACUAGGAAUACCUAAAGCGAAGGCGAUCUCCUGGAACAUAACUGACGCUAAGGCGUGAAAGCGUGGGGAGCAAACAGGAUUAGAUACCCUAGUAGUC
rnacentral:rRNA from 1 species